AGCCGAAACGGGCGCAAGCCCGUAACCGGGAAACGGCCUACCCGGUCUGAUGAUGGCAGGCCAGA
rnacentral:hammerhead_ribozyme from 2 species